AUCCUUAUUUCCGGAAGUAGAAACUCACUGUGCUUUUGAGCUACAUUUUGGGGGUAAACUGUUAUGAUCACCGCUACUAAAAUGGACAGAACACCUUUACGUGAUAUUUUUAGUAGAUCCCCAUGAGUAGCGAGGACUCGGAGCAGCAGGUCGGGGACUCAGAGGUGGGCAUGAAUCCACCGAAGCGUCUCCGCACCGCAGAAACACUGACAGGAGGCACAGAGCAGGAGGCGGAGAAGAGCACGGUGGAUGUGAGUAUCAUCAUGCCAGUAUAUAAUGCAUCAUGCUGGCUGGAUGAGUGUCUACAGGCCAUAUUGCACCAAGACUUCACUGGUUCCAUGGAGCUGUCGGUGUUUGAUGACGCAAGCACUGAUGACUCCAAAAAAGUGGUGGAGGGUUGGAGGGAGAGGCUGGAGGCAAGGGGCAUCUCAGUGGUGAUAUCUGGUCACAACUCUGAUCAACCUAAAGGAGUGGGAUAUGCAAAGAAUAAGGCCAUAUGUCAGAGUCGUGGACAAUACUUGUGCUUUCAGGAUGCGGAUGACAUUAUGUUGCCCCAAAGAGUUCGUCUGCAGUACGAUGCAUCAUUCUGUCACAAAAACUCUCUGAUUGGCUGUAGAGUCCAGCGGGUGCCAGAGGGGUCUACAGAGCGUUAUACUCGCUGGAUCAACACACUCAGUCAGGACCAGCUCAUCACACAGGUAUACACCUCCCAUGGGCCCACAGUUGUCAUGCCAACAUGGUUCUGCUCACGGGAAUGGUACCUGAAGGUUGGGCCAUUUGACGAGGGAGGCAAGGGAGUCCCAGAGGAUCUUCUCUUCUUUUACCAGAGUCUUCGUAAGGGAGGGGGCCUGUUCCGGGUUGACCAGUGCCUGCUGAUCUAUCGUUAUCAUGAGAAAGCAACCACUCACUCCGUAACAGAAGAGACUAUUUGGAAGCUGCGAGUAGACUUCCUGCAGGAGAGAGUUCUCAGCCAAUGGGAGAGCUUCACCAUAUGGAACGCUGGGAAACAAGGCCGGAAGCUGUACCGAUCGCUUAGCCUGGCUAAUCAGAAGAAAGUCAAAGCGUUCUGUGAUGUGGAUGAGAACAAGAUCCAGAAAGGCUUCUACACAUAUGAGGAAUCCAAGGAAAGACCUAAGCCAAAAAUUCCAGUUCUGCAUUACAAGGAUGCCUCCACCCCUUUCAUCAUCUGUGUCAAACUGGACAUGACUGGAGGCAACCUGGAGGAAAAUCUACAUUCCUUGCAGAUGAAGGAAGGAAUAGAUUACUAUCACUUCAACUGACUGUUCAGGGACAUGAAGGUUUGCAGGUUUAACAGGCAGAGGAAUGCAAAGGAAUAGAUUAAAGUUACAUAUAAGCUCAGAAAUAGACAGGUAAUAGCAGGAAAAUAGUGAACACUGAAAUUGAAGGAACAAUAAGUAAAGAGUGACACCGGACUCAUAUAAGGUUUGAAAUGGGGGCAGACUGACUGCACAGGGAGUCUGAGCCUGAGUCUAAUCCUGUCACCACCACAGAGGACUCUUGAUGAUGUGCUGUUUGACCUCAGAUGCUCCUGCACCAUGUGGAGUAUUUACAGAGCAGCAGAACCUCUGACCUUCUCCCCUGCAGUCACCUGGCUCUUCUCAAGCAGACUGACAGGAGGAACGCCAAGUCUGUCUACACUUUUCUUCCUCACUGAGUCACACAUGCAAUUCCUCUAUCUCCUAUUUCAACCUUCAUGACCUUUAUUUCCUUUCUCUUUGUCUUUUUGUUUUUGUUAUAAAGAAAUCCUAAUUUACCUACAGACUAGCUGAGCGGGGCAGCUUGACAGUAGUUGUUGAAGAAAAGGAAGGAACACUGAGCUCAUGCCAAUUAAACACCACUUCAUACUUCCCUGCAAAGGAAGAGAGCAGUGAUGCAGUGAAAGUGAGAGAAAUGGUUUUCAGGCUACUUCAGUGUAGAUUUCAAAAGUAUAAAGUAAAACCUUUAUACUUUUUAUAUGUUGAGCUAAAGUGUCAUCACUACAAUAUAUAAAAAUUAAGAAACACAAUAUCUACAAACACAUUUUGGGAUCACAGUUAUAGCUACUCUGCUAAAUAAUCACAUUCAACAGGAGCAUGUUUGGAUUUAGCUUCAGCUAUGUGAUGAUAAACUCAAUUAACCAGACGAUGGUUUUGUCCAUCUCUAGUGUCUCUGUGGGUUUGACAAAAUAAAUAAAAAUUAAAAAUUUACAUUCACCAACUGUAAAAAUUGUGUAGCCUAUAUGCUGAAUGUGUAUAAAAAUGUUUUUAAUGUUUCAGCUG